rnacentral:rRNA from 1 species
ACCUGCUUUUGAACAUGCACUGGCAUUUCCUUAGCAAUCUUGUCUGAUCUCAGAAGCUGAGCAGGAUCUGGCCUGGCUGCUAUUUGGAUAGGAGGCCAUUUGGGAAUCUCAGGUGUAGCAGGUU